CACGUAGGGGGCAAGCGUUGUCCGGAUUUAUUGGGCGUAAAGAGCUCGUAGGCGGCUUAGUAAGUCGGGUGUGAAACCUCCAGGCUCAACCUGGAGACGCCACCCGAUACUGCUGUGGCUAGAGUCCGGUAGGGGAGCGUGGAAUUCCUGGUGUAGCGGUGAAAUGCGCAGAUAUCAGGAGGAACACCAGCGGCGAAGGCGGCGCUCUGAGCCGGUACUGACGCUGAGGAGCGAAAGCGUGGGGAGCAAACAGG
rnacentral:rRNA from 1 species